UGAAUACGAGACGCUAAGGCGUCGAAGUAGUGUAUGUCAUACUUCCAAGAAAAGCUUGCACUGUCAUAGAUAAAAAACGCCUGUACCAUAACCGACACAGGUGGGUAGGUAGAGUAUACUAAGGGGCGCGAGAUAACUCUCUCUAAGGAACUCGGCAAAAUGACUCCGUAACUUCGGGAGAAGGAGUGCCUUAUUCUUAAGGUUGCAAUAACAAGAUCCAAGCAACUGUUUAUCAAAAACACAGGUCUCCGCUAAGUCGUAAGACGAUGUAUGGGGGCUGACGCCUGCCCAGUGCCAGAAGGUUAAAGAAGUUGGUUAGCAUUUGCGAAGCUGAUAACUGAAGCCCUGGUGAACGGCGGCCGUAACAAUAACGGUCUUAAGGUAGCGAAAUUCCUUGUCGGGUAAGUUCCGACCCGCACGAAAGGCGUAAUGAUUUGGAUACUGUCUCGGAGAGGGGCUCGGUGAAAUAGACUUGUCUGUGAAGAUGCGGACUACCUGCACCAGGACAGAAAGACCCUAUGAAGCUUUACUGUAACUUGAAAUUGAAAUUGGACUUUAUUCGCGCAGUAUAGGUGGGAGGCGUUGAUUAUAAUCUUGCGGGAUUAUUGGAGCCAUCAGUGAGAUACCACCCUUGUAAUGUUAGAUUUCUAUCUUUGAAUCAUUAUCUGGUCAAAGAACAGUUUCAGGCGGGCAGUUUGACUGGGGCGGUCGCCUCCUAAACGGUAACGGAGGCGUACAAAGGUUUCCUCUGAACGGUUAGAAAUCGUAUCUAGAGUGUAAAGGCAUAAGGAAGCUUGACUGUGAGACCUACAAGUCGAGCAGGGACGAAAGUCGGUCUUAGUGAUCUGACGGUACUGAGUGGAAAGGCCGUCACUCAACGGAUAAAAGUUACUCUAGGAUAACAGGCUGAUCUCCCCCAAGAGUUCACAUCGACGGGGAGGUUUGGCACCUCGAUGUCGGCUCAUCGCAUCCUGGGGCGGUAGUACGUCCCAAGGGUUGGGCUGUUCGCCCAUGAAAGCGGUACGCGAGCUGGGUUCAGAACGUCGUGAGACAGUUCGGUCCAUAUCCGGUGUAGGCGUUAGAAUAUUGAGAGGAGCCUUCUUUAGUACGAGAGGACCGAGAAGGACAUACCUCUGGUGUACCAGUUAUCGUGCCAACGGUAAACGCUGGGUAGCUAUGUAUGGAGUGGAUAACCGCUGAAAGCAUCUAAGUGGGAAGCCCACCUCAAGAUAAGUAUUCUC
rnacentral:rRNA from 1 species